CUAACGCUGGCGGCGCGUCUUAAACAUGCAAGUCGAACGGUAAGGCCCUUCGGGGUACACGAGUGGCGAACGGGUGAGUAACACGUAGGUAAUCUGUCCUGGAGUGGGGGAUAACUCAGGGAAACUUGAGCUAAUACCGCAUACGCCAUGAGGUUCACGGGCCUCAUGGUAAAAGGCUUCGGUCGCUCCUGGAUGAGCCUGCGGCUUAUUAGCUUGUUGGUGGGGUAAUGGCCUACCAAAGCUUCGAUGAGUAGCCGGCCUGAGAGGGUGAUCGGCCACACUGGAACUGAGAUACGGUCCAGACUCCUACGGGAGGCAGCAGUUAAGAAUCUUGCGCAAUGGGGGAAACCCUGACGCAGCGACGCCGCGUGAAGGAUGAAGGCCCUCGGGUUGUAAACUUCAAUAGACAGGGAAGAAAAAAAUGACGGUACCUGUCGAAAGCACCGGCUAAAUACGUGCCAGCAGCCGCGGUAAU
rnacentral:rRNA from 1 species